rnacentral:rRNA from 1 species
AAACUGAAGAGUUUGAUCCUGGCUCAGAUUCAACGCUGGCGGCAUGCCUAACACAUGCAAGUCGAACGCGAAAAGUCCUUCGGGGCUGAGUAGAGUGGCGGACGGGUGAGUAACGCGUGGGAAUCUGCCCAGUAGUG